UACGUAGGGUGCGAGCGUUAAUCGGAAUUACUGGGCGUAAAGAGCGCGCAGGCGGCCGAGCAAGUCGAGUGUGAAAGCCCCGGGCUUAACUUGGGAAUUGCGCUCGAAACUACUUGGCUGGAGUGUGGCAGAGGAAGGUGGAAUUCCAGGUGUAGCGGUGAAAUGCGUAGAGAUCUGGAGGAACACCGAUGGCGAAGGCAGCCUUCUGGGCCAACACUGACGCUCAUGCACGAAAGCGUGGGGAGCAAACAGG
rnacentral:rRNA from 1 species